ensembl:lncRNA
GGGGAGAGAAAGGACACAAACCCCUCCAGGCAGAAACAGCAGCAGGUGAGGGAAACUGAGGCCCAGGAGCUGGUGCCACGACAGUUCUGAGGGCCAGCCGAGAAAGCCACUGUGUCUGGAUGCCACCACCUGUGGCCACCGGGCCGCCUGAGAACAUGGCUUCCGUCACGCCAUGCCCCGCAGACCUCAUGCUGGCCAACCCCACUCCCAGGAGGCGGCUUCCGGCCUCAGCAGGCGGGGCGUGACCAGUGGACAAGAGACCGCACCCCUCCAGCCGGGGAGCGGAGGGGAGAUGGAGACCCGACGCGAACAGGCAGAGCUCAGCCAGGUCCAGAGGGACCCCCCACCCGGCCCCUGCAGGCGGCUGCUUCUCAACCACCAUUUCUCCCGUCCUAGGAAACCCCAGUUGUGUCCUGUCUCCAUGUGUGAGCCUGGAGUCUCCAGAAAAACUGAAAUAAAAUGAUAUGCUCACAUGUGGAGAGAGAGAGACAUUGUUUCAAGGAAUUGGGUCACGCAAUUAUGGAAGCUGCAAGCCCAAAAUCCACAGGAUGGACGGGCGGCCUGGAGACCCAGGAAGAGCUGAUGCUGUGAUUCAAGUCCCAAGUCCGCCUGCCACAGAAUCCCCUCUUGCCUGGGGGACACCAGUCUUUUGUUCUGGUCGGGGCCUUCAACUGAUUGGAUGAGGCCCACCAUAUUAUGGAAGGCAAUCUGCUUUUCACUCAAAGCUCGCAUGAUUUAAGGGUCAAUCUCAUCCAGAAACACCCUCAUGGAAGUAUCCAAAAUAAUGGUUGGCCCCGUUUCUAGACGCUGUGGCCCAGCCAACUUGACACAUGAAAUAAACGGUCAUGUUUGGUCUUAAGAUGGUGCCCCCGGGCGUCUGUGUUUGCCGGCCCUUUGCUGUAGUCAGGAACCCAGCCGUCCUCCCCCCGCGGUGGGAUUCGCAGGGUGGUGGGGUCGGCUGCCCUCACGUGAGCCUUACCCCCCAGCAAGAUGGCUAGAGCUACUUACAGAGGGCACGUAGGUCACGCUGGUCCUCACCCCUCACCCCCCACCCCAGGCUGCUGGCCUCCGACACACCAGCUCUCUGUCAUGACUUAACGCUCAGUGCCUCCGCACGCUCCCGGCCCUCCCUGCCCCGGUCUGUCCCCAGCGCCCUCGUGGGGCCCUGCACACCGUGCACUCUGCUUAGACACUGAGGUCCAUCCUCCGCACCCAGACCCUCACCUGCACGGGGCAGGCAGUGUCCCCAAUGUUGUCUUCACCGUUGUCACGAAACAGAUACUCCACAAAUGCGUGUUGGAUAAAUGGAUAAUCAGUACUUCAAAACUGUAUUCUAGGGGCGCCUGGGGGGCUCUGUCGAUUAAGCGUCAGACUUCAGCUCAGGUCAUGAUCUCACGGUUUGUGAAUUCGAGUCUCGCGUCAGGCUCUGUGCUGACAGCUCAGAGCCUGGAACCUGCUUCAGAUUCUGUGUCUCCCUCUCUCUCUCUGCCCCUCCCCCAUUCACAUUCGGUCUCUGUCUCUCUCUCUCUCUCCUCUGUCAACCUCUCUCUCAAAAAUAAAUAACCCUC